rnacentral:lncRNA from 10 species
UCCCUAGAAAUGAGAUGUCCUUCCAGGCUUAGCCCAGAGGGUCUUGUAACCCCGAGGUAUAAAACUCAGUGUGGGCUGCUUUCUGAGGUCCCUCAGCUGCUAUGAAAGUGGAGCACAUGCAGUUGAGACUCCAUCCACCCAGGCAGCUUUCCUGAACCUUGGAGGACUGGGUGGCAAUGAAUCCUCGGUUUCUGUUGUCCCUUGCUGCCUGCCUAUCUGACAUGUAGACUGGUGCUCCAGCAGCCAUCUUGGACCAUGAAGUGACCUUGGGAAUGAAAGCUAAGGAUAAUGGAGCAAAAACAUUGAAGCCUGGAUUCCUGAAGGUACCGGACAGCUGCCAUGCCACCCCUGGACGGCCUGCUUCCCAAAUUUC